ensembl:lncRNA
UAAUAUAUCAUUUUUAUAACAGGCAUUUACACAAUGUACACUCAUAAGCAUGAUCAUAAAUACAACAUACAUACGGUGUAUAAAAAGAACACAAGAAGACAACAACAACAACAACAACAGCAGCAGAGAACUGCCUUCCAGUGAUAGGUACAUUCACUUUAGCAGGACACCAUUGGCUAAUGUUAACCUUAUAGGGUAUACAAAUACCGUCUUAGUUUAGCUUGUUGUUGACCAGUAUGAAUAGUUAAUUUUCUCCCACACUGCUCAAAAACCCACAGUACACCUGUCUCAAACUGAACUUCCGAGUGCCGUUUCUGACAACCAGGGCGGUAUUCAUUAGGGCAUUCAUUAGGGCACACCACAACGUAGAAACGAAAACAAGCAGUUGGUAGUUAAUUCAGGUGGUCCCUGUCUGUUUCAGGAUGUUUUCUUCAGUUUGAUGCCUAAUGCAUAUGACUCCUGUUUGGUUGUGACUGGUUGUGACUGGUUGAGGUGCCCGCUCCCUAAAAUACCACUAUGAUUUGGAAUUUCCGUUGCUCCACCCUAAUAGUAGACCACAAGCAGCAAGUCCCGUUUACCUGUUUCGGACAGAGUGGGAAAUCCGGAUGGUACCGUUUAAGAAGAGACAAGCUUGUGACAAACACAUAGGCAACCACACAUUCCCUAUUCAUUAUUAUGACUAUUCUGCAAUCAAGUCCUAUCCCUUGCCCAUGACAAGACUGCGAUUGUGUUGUUUCAAAUGCGUGCUUGUUGUAAAGCAUGGGAUGGCAAGUACAGUACAGUAACGGCAAGAUAUUAGAAGACUAAUUUAACCCCAGGUUAAUCACUGGUGAGAAGAGACAGACAGACUCUCUAUAAGACACACAGGAUAUUGCACGGUAUAGAGAGUGACAGAGAAACUAUAGAAGUAUUUGUCAGAGUAGCAGAGAUAGUCGUCUGUCUGUUAAAUCCCACUGGACGGUUGAAACUGAUGGCCUUUUCUGUGUGAGGUGUUUAAAUGCACAUUGAGCUCAGAGUAAAUGGAUGGAAAGGUUCACUCAUAUUUGAACCAAUGUAAACACCUAGGAAGGACGAGUCAGAGGUGAAGGACUUGGCUGGCACCAAGGAUGUAUGGGACACAUACAGCAGAUUUCGGAAAGUAUUCAGACCCCUUGACUUUUCCCAUAUUUUGUUACGUUACAGCCUUAUUCUAAAAUGGAUUCAAUUGUCCCCCCCCCCUCAUAAUCUAAAUACAAUGCCUCAUAAUGACAAAGCAAAAACAUGUUUUAAGAAUAUUUUGCAAAUGUAUACAAAAUAAACAUAUUUAAAUAUUCAGACCCUUUACUCAGUACUUUGUUGAAGCACCUUUGGCAGUGAUUACAGCCUCAAGUCUUCUUGGGUAUAACGCAACAUGCUUGGCACACCUGUAUUUGGGGAGUUUCUCCCAUUCUACUCUGCAGAUCCUCUUAAGCUCUGUCAGGUUGGAUGGGGAGUGUUGCUGCACAUGUAUUUUCAGGUCUUUCCAGAGAUGUUCGAUUAGGUUCAAGUCCAGGCUCUAGCUGGGCCACUAAAGGACAUUCAGAGACCUGUCCCGAAGCUACUCCUGCAUUGUCUUGGCUGUGUGCUUAGGGUCGUUGUCCUUUUGGAAGGUGAACCUUCGCCCCAGUCUGAGCUCCUGAGUGCUCUGGAGCAUCAAGGAUCUCUCUGUACUCUGCUCCGUUCAUCUUUCCCUCGAUCCUGACUAGUUUCCCAGUCCUUGCCGCUAAAAAACAUCCCCAAAGGAUGAUGCUGUCACCAGCAUGCUUCACCGUAGGAAUGGUUCAGGUUUCCUCCAGAUGUGACACUUGGUAUUCAGGCCAAAGAGUUCAAUCUUGGUUUCAUAAGAUAUGAAAAUCUUGUUUCUCGUGGUCUGAGAGUCUCUAAGGUACCUUUUGACAAACUCCAAGCGGGCUGUCAUGUGCCUUUUACUGAGGAGUGGCUUCCAUCUGGCCAUUUUACCAUAAAGGCCUGAUUGGUAGAGUGCUGCAGAGAUGGUUGUCCUUCUGGAUUGUUCUCCUAUCUCCACAGAGCAACUCUGGAGCUCUGUCAGAGUGACCGUCGGGUUGUUGGUCACCUCCCUGACCAAGGCCCUUCUACCCCAAUUUCUCCGUUUGUCCGGGCGGCAAGCUUUAAGAAGAGUCUUGGUGGUUCCAAACUUCUUCCAUUUAAGAAUAAUGGAGACCACAGUGUUCUUGGAGACCUUCAAUGCGGCAGACAUUUUUUAGUACCCUUCCCCAGAUCUGUGCCUCGACACAAUCUUGUAUUGGGGCCCUGGGGACAGUUCCUUCGACCUCAUGGCUUGGUUUUUACUCUGACAUGCACUGUCAACUGUGGGACCUUAUAUAGACAGGUGUGUGCCUUUCCAAAUCAUGUCCAAUCAAUUGAAUUUACCACAGGUGGACUCCAAUCAAGUGUUAGAAACAUCUCAAGGAUGAUCAAUGGAAAACAGGAUGCACCUGGUCUUAAUUUCGAGUCUCAUAGCAAAAAGGGUCUGAAUACUUACGUAAAUAAGGUAUUUCUAUAUUAUUAUAAUUUUUUAUUAGCAAACAUGUCUAAAAACCUGUUUUUGUAAUUAUGGGGUUAUUGUGUGUAGAUGGAUGUCAGAGGACUGUGUGUGUGUGGUUGGUUCUCAGUCCUCUGACACAUACGGUUCAUUUGGAAAGUAUUCAGACCCAUUUACUAUUUCCACAAUUUUGUUACGUUACAGCCUUAUUCUAAAAUGGAUUAAAUAAAACAUUUCCCCUCAUCAAUCUACACACAAUAACACACUAAUUACGAAAACCGUUUUUUAGACAUGUACUCUGUGACAUUUUUAGAGACACAUUUGCAUCCUGUAAGCCCACGCACACACUCAUGAAGCAGUUUCACUUACACUUACACUUACACACACACACACACACACACACACACACACACACACACACA